rnacentral:rRNA from 1 species
GACGAACGCUGGCGGCGUGCUUAACACAUGCAAGUCGAACGGAAAGGCCCUGCUGUGGGGGGGUGCUCGAGUGACGAACGGGUGAGUAACGAGUGAGUAACCUACCCUUUACUUUGGGCUAACUUCAAGAAAUUGUGGCUAAUACCGGAUAGGAGCUCCUGCUGCAUGGUGGGGGUUGGAUAGUUUCGGCGGUUGGGGAGGAACUCGCGGCUUAUCAGCUUGUUGGUGGGGUGGUUGCCUACCAAGGCUUUGACGGGCAGCCGGCCUGAGUGGGUGACCGGCAAAAUUGGGCCAGGGAACGGGCCAGGCUCCCUACGGGAGGCAGAGGUGGGAAUUAGGCAACAAGGGGCCGAGGCCUAAUGAAGAACCGCCGCGGGCGGAAUGACGGCCUUCGGGUGUUAACCCGCUUUAGCAUGUGACGAAGUGUGAGUGACGGUAACGGGUAAAGAAGCACCGGCUAACUACGUG